CCCCGCUCAACAACGUCAACAAACUGCAAGAGAGCAGUGCGGGAAGAAUACAAACGUCGUGUGCUCCGUGGCCCCUGGGUGCCAGCUGGCGUUCCUCCUCGGGGUCUCAUCGGCCGCGGGCAAUGGGAGGAGGGCGAGAGGUCCGCGCCUAGGUGGUGAGGGUUGGGGGGGGGAGGAGGUGGGGCGCAGGAAAGGAGCGGCGGACAGCCGGGGCGGCCUCUUUGGCCUCAACCCCAAGAUCAGGCCACGGGGAACGCCGCGCGGCUCCACGUGCACGCGCGACCCCGUGGCAGUGUGACGCACGCGGCCACACGGGUGGGCUUCCAUUGGCUAGGUACACGCCGCCCCGCCACGACGUUCGACCUUCCAACCACUCCCCAACGAGCACGCGUAGGCGGAGGAGGCCACGUGGACCACACGCGCGGUGCCACCGCACGCACAAAGUGUACGCGACCCCACGGCUACAACACGGCUCCCACAGUGCUUCUGCGCCGUGCGUAGUGACGCGGCUCACGCAGGUGAGGUUAGCAGGUGAGAGUGCUAAUGGAAGGCAGGGGACACCAACCCCGACAAGAGGAUGGAGAAGAAAAUCCACGAGCAGCACAACGGCGAGAAAAUCGAUGGCAGCACGGAGACCCACAGCGAGAGCGACGACAGCCACAGCUACGGCACUCAACCGGGCUGGGAGGCCGAGACACACGGAUGGCACCGGAAGAUGAAGCUGAUCCCAACCGAGCUGAUCCACAGGGAGGUCUGUCAGAAUGGCACGGAGACCAGCCCAGUCUCACAAAGACUCACGGAGACCAGCCCAGUCUCACAAAGCAUGACGGAGACCAGCCCAGUCUCACAAAGACUCACGGAGACCGGCCCAGUCUCACAAAGACUCACAGAGACCAGCCCAGUCUCACAAAGACUCACGGAGACCGGCCCAGUCUCACAAAGACUCACAGAGACCGGCCCAGUCUCACAAAGACUCACGGAGACCGGCCCAGUCUCACAAAGAUUCAUGGAGACCAGCCCAGUCUCACAAAGGCUCACAGAGACCGGCCCAGUCUCACAAAGACUCACGGAGACCAGCCCAGUCUCACAAAGACUCACAGAGACCAGCCCAGUCUCACAAAGACUCACGGAGAC